rnacentral:rRNA from 1 species
AGCAGCCGCGGUAAUUCCAGCUCCAAUAGCGUAUAUUAAAGUUGUUGCAGUUAAAAGCUCGUAGUUGAAUUUCGGGGUUAGUAGGUUGGUCAUGCCACUGGUAUGUACUGGUCUCACUGAUUCCUCCUUCCUGAUGAGCCGUAAUGCCAUUAAUUUGGUGUUGCGAGGAAUCUGGACUGUUACUUUGAAAAAAUUAGAGUGUUUAAAGCAAGCUAACGCUUGAAUACAUUAGCAUGGAAUAAUGAAAUAGGACGUUCGAUCCUAUUUUGUUGGUUUCUAGGAUUGACGUAAUGAUUAAUAGGGAUAGUUGGGGGCAUUAGUAUUCAAUUGUCAGAGGUGAAAUUCUUGGAUUUAUUGAAGACUAACUACUGCGAAAGCAUUUGCCAGGAUGUUUUCAUUAAUCAAGAACGAAAGUUAGAGGUUCGAAGGCGAUCAGAUACCGCCCUAGUUCUAACCGUAAACGAUGCCAACUAGCGAUCCACAGGCGUUAUUCAAUGACUCUGUGGGCAGCUUCCGGGAAACCAAAGUGUUUGGG